UGCCCCAUUUUCUUGAAUUUGGAUGUUAGCUUCCAUUCGCCCCUGUUUAUUAAUUGCGAUGCUAAUCUCUAAUUGUGUUAAUGCGUCGCGACCUAAUAAAUUGAGGGGGCAUCCGUGGCUGUAGAACUGCUUCCACAUUCGCCUUUUUAUUUGGGUCAUCGGGACUCCGCAACUCGAUAGUACGGGACAAAACUAAGGGUUGAAUUAAACCAUGAGCUCCGCGCAUGUAAACCUUUUUUUUCGGCUUGGUUUAACUGUCGCGGGGUCCCACUUUCCUAAAACGGUCAACUCAGCGCCCGUAUCAACUUGGAAAACGGUUGGUUUUCCCUGGACGAGUAAAGUUAAUUCUGGUUUCAUCAUGGGUUCAGUCUUAUGACGCAUUAAAUAAUUUUCGAGGUCGAACGUGUGUUUAAUGUCUUCUUCGACAUUUUCAUCAUUGUCGCUAUCGGAGGAGUUCAGAGGGUUGGUAACCAAUCUGCGAUCCGCGGCCCCUCUGGAGUCCCAGCCUUGUCGUUCAUCAUCAGAUGAAUCGUCAACACGGCGUCGACUAGGCUUAGCCUUGGCUUUACAAUAGCGAGCAUGAUAACCGUCUUUGCCGCAGUUAAGACACUUGCCUUCUCUGAACCACUUUUGCUUUUUGGGUGAUAAUUUCAACACGUCAAAUUGAGGUUUUUUGUUACUCCCGUUAUGUGGUCCCUCUUUUGUGUCACAAAGCUUUCCUGUAAAGUUAAUGUUUACUACAGGACGCUCUGCUUUUUUCUUCUUUUUUUUUUUUUGCUCAACGCGUUCAUAAUUUAUUUAUUUAAUUAAUUUAUUUCAAUUUUAGGACUUUGAAUUUCUCUGGCCCUAUCAAGAAGGGCCUUACAAUAAAACCACUGUAUUACAGUGGGUAUUGUCUUUUCUCUUCUGCCCGUCUUUAAUAGAUAAUUUACUGAGAAGUUUGUCCAAUUCUUCACAGUUGUCUACAUUUCCAGAAAAUCCAUACUUUUUCUGCCACUUUUGGGUGAAUUUUGUUGUUCCCUUGAAAUCAAUUUCAGCUCAACGACAUUUUUCCUUUACUUCAACAUCGUAAAGUGGACGGUUGGAAUUUUUGGUCGACAUUGCCGCCAUUUCUGAUGGUCUUAUUUAUUAUAAACGUCUAGAUAUGGUUCCUCAGUUUUGAGAAAAAUUCAAAGUGCCUGACUUCGGGUUGAAUACCAAGCUUCUACUCCCAAUUCGGAGCGGGUAUUACCUGGGUGUUUUUACUCACGAUCCUCAGUCAGUUUUAGAUUUAUCAAACUUUGGACAUUCACUCUAUACACAUUCACUCACACAGACUGAUCAAUUUCUGUGUCCUGAAACUAAGAGUUUCAACUUUUCCAAGUGUUGUACAAGCAGUGACUCCUGAAAAAUACAAAAUAUACUAGUCUUUCAACCAGAUAUUUUGUACUAUUUUUCCAAGUGUUAUAAAAACACUGACCCAUGAAAAGUAGGAAAUAUACUAGUCUUUCGACUAGAUAUUCUGUACUACUCUUCCAAGUGUUGUACAAGCACUGACUCCUGAAAAAUGGAAAAUAUACUAGUCCUUCGACUAGAUAUUCUGCACUAUUUCUCCUAAGUGUUCUAGAAACACUGACCUUUGAAAAAUAGGAAAUAUACUAGUCUUUCGACUAGAUAUUCGCACUAUCUUUCCAAGUGUUAUGCAAACACUGACCCGCGAAAAAUAGGAAAAAUACUAGUCUUUCGACUAGAUAUUGUACACUAUUUUUUCCAAGUGUUAUAAAAACACUGACCUGCGAAAAAUAGGAGCUAUACUAGUUUUUCGACAACAUAUACGGUACUACUUUUCCAAGUGUAAUGCAAACACUGACCUCUGACAAUCUCCGUUGGUUGAGACACAUGCAAUUCAUAGGAUGACGUUUGUGUUCUCCCGGCGGAGGAUGUCCGAGGGCUGGCCUCGUGGAAAGGAGGACUUUCCGGGUCUCCUGGAGACUCGGAUGGUGCACCGAUCUCAGUCGUCGUCAAUCAUCCGCCGAAAAGAAAACGUUGUCAUCCGGCUCGAAGGACCAAGUUUUAGAAUGUCAGAGAUGUUCCUAGAAAAACAGCUAAGACAAGCCUGAGGACUGUAGAGAGUGAACUCAAACCAACCAAGAUUGUCUUUUCGUGCACGGGACAGACGGAGGACACACUGUGAGAGUGCGCUACCUCAGAUUGCCAAAGUGGUAGUCCCUGUCUGCUCUUUUUUAUUGCAUUCUCAGGUCAAAGGGUUACAUGGUUCCACAGUGAAAAUGCUGACACAGAUGGCUACACCAACAGCACACAAACACUAAGGUACAUGUUUCUUAAAGGCCUGAGUGUCCUGAUAAACCCACAAGAGAAAAAGCAAGGCAUUGUUUAAAGACAUGUUUAUGGCAUUUGGGGGUAUCCUCCUGCAGUAGAAGGACGUUAUCGCCUCCCAAUGUUGAGGAGUAUCUGCUUAAGAUCAGAAGGGGAACUUGCUGAGGCCAGGAUGGAGACAUCGCUUCCCAUUGUUCAGGUGCAUCAGCUUGAGGUCGGCAGGGGGGCAUAGCCUCCCAGGUGUCACUGGGUCACACUUCAAGACACGCACACAGCUCACAAAGAGAGCAAUUCAGACUAAGACUACCAGAAACAAACGCAUGAUAAAACAAUCCUAACAGCAACUAUAGUAGUCAUGAUAUACUUUUAUCAUGAUAACUAACAUAGUAAUAUAUCUUUAUCAAAUUUCAACGGGAAUGAGGAACAAUAUUUCUCCUACUGCGCUCGCGGCAACUGUAGAAUCUCUCAUCAGCUCAUGUGAUGGCGCUACAUCUGCAGAAAACUUGAACCCGGUACAGUCCUACCGGUACCGGAAGGACGCGCCCGCCAACAUUGCUGAGAGAAUCCAGACGGACCUCAGGCAAUUUACUGGGAUGACAAACUAAUGGAGACGUUACCUGAUAAAUACGCAAAGGAUGAUCGUCUUCCCGUGUUUAUUUCGGGCGUGGCUGAGAUCAAAUUGCUCUGUGUUCCUGCCCUUCCUGUAAAGUCUUCAGAAAGAGCUGGAGAUCUUCUUUCUAAAGGUGGCCGCAUUUGCAUCCAGGAAAACCUCGGGGAAGCUCUGUUGUGCUGCACCUGUCGAAGACAUGGACAGGUUCUCCGAACUGGAUUUGACUGCUGAGCUGACGAGAGACAGCAGUUCGGAUCCUGGAGCAGCGACAUCAUGUAAUUGAACUUCUGACAACCAUCAAGACAGAUUUGCGAGCACGGAGGCGGGCAAGCGCGGUCGCACUCGUCAAAUGUCAGUGAAUGCAACACCAUAUCACCCCCAAGAAAAUGGGGAAGUUGAGAGGAUGAAUAAAGGAGGUUGAGGGUCGAGAACAGGUGCUCAAUGGAGGCAUGACACCAGAUCAGGAGGAGAUGCAAGUUAAACAUGAGCCAGUCAACAAACAAAAAAUGCCAGUAAUGCCACCAUCUCUUCCAAGCGACAACAACCAAGCAGCACACCACUACCAGUGACCAAUUAGAGGGAGACGACCUCGGAGGGUUUUCACAUACGAUGGGCUUGGCCACCCGACCUGUUAUAGCGCUGGACCUCCAAGUAACAUGUACUGGUACCCUCCAGUGCCCCUUGUGCCCUAUGGAGUGAUGCCAACAGCGAGUACGUGGAUGCCUGCACAGUAUUCCUUCAACUACCAGUCUGCCAUGCCCGGGUCCUGAAUGCAGAACACCCCCAAACUCCUUGACACCAAUCCCCCUUUUCCCCUGUACAGAUAUACACUGUUUACACACACACACUACACAAAACAUUCAUGGACUGUAUAUGAUGCAUACAUGCACGAUACACAGAUCCUGGACUCUGUGAUGAGUCGAAUGCCACAACAUGCUUCUGUACUUGGGACUUUCUGUCAAACUGAGAACUAUGCCAAAAAUGUAUGACUGUUCAACAAGUUCACUUGUUUCAUACAUGUACACCUUGCGUAUACUCUGGACUGUUAGUGAAACAACUGAGUGCUUUAGCCUUGAUUGUACAUUGUUAUGGGCCUUAUGAUAUAUGUAUAUGUAAAAAAAAAUUUUUUUUGAUGAUUGGAGGAUUUAUUUUAGUUCAAUGUCGGUGAUGGCAUCUGUUUUGAAGGGGAGUGUGUUGUGAAAUGAGCAAUUCUUUGUGUUGAAAGUUUUUUUCUUUUCAUCUUUUCUGUGAAGCUUAAGUAUUGCAAAGUAUGUUUUCUUUUUCCUGAUCUUUAUUAUUUUCUGUUAUGCCAAAGAAGUGGAAAGGAAUAUUGUUUCUCUUUGAUCGACGAAUCGGAUGUCGAUUGGUGUGACUGAUUACUCGAUGAUCGAUUGUUGGUGUCUCAGUCUUUGACAGAGAGCAUGCGAGUGCCCCCUCAUCACUGCACAUUGUGCCCGAAAGACAAAGGCAUCGCGUUGUGAAUCCAUGUCUCUUCACAGGACCGCUACAUCUCAACAAGACAAUUACACCAAGCAGACUCGUAAACAUGCAAAGUCUUGUUUCCAAACCAACAAAGUUAAUGUCAUUACGAGUCCAGCCCAAUCCCUGGACCUAAAUCCAAUCAAGAAUUGUGGGGUGACAUCAAAGUGUUGUUUCUAAAACAAAACCAAUAAAUGUAAAUAAUUGUGGAAUGUCAGUAGGAAAUUUUGGAGUGGAAUAACACCUGAAAUGUGCCACAAGUUAGUUGACACCAUGCCACACAGAUGUGAAGUAGUCAUACAAAACUGUGGUCAUACAACUAAAUAUUAGUUUUGUGAUUCAAAGGAUUGGUAAAUUGUUCCAUCAAAGAUCCAAUCCAUUUUAUGAGCCGCUUAUCCUCAACAGGAUUGCAGAAGCCCUGGAGCCAAUCCCAGCAUCAUCGGGCAGGGUACAGCCUGAAAUGGUUGCCAGCCAAUCACAUGGAGAUGGACAUGGAGAUAGAUAACAGUUGCAGCCACACUGAUAAUCACACCUCGGAGCAAUUUAGAGUCUCCAAUUCAUGCAUGUUUUUGGGAUGUGGGAGGAAACCGGAGUGCCUGGAGAAAACCCACGCAAUGAUGGGGAGAACAUGCAAAUGCCACACAGGCAGGGCCAGGAUUUGAACCCCAUUCCUCAGAACUGUGAGGCCAACACUUUACAGGUACUCCACCGUGUCGCGGGAUUGUGAAAUCCUAGAAACAAAAAAAAUGGUACAAAAUUGUUUGGAAUUUGUAAAGUCAAUAGCAGACUGCUUUUUUUUUUUUAACACACUCCGUUAAACAAAUAGCCCAUUUGCACGCCCUGAAGUGUGUAUAUAUCACGAAGGCUGGGUCUUGUCAUGGACGUGUCCUUCCUCAACCCAGUGCACACCUGCUCCAGUGAGCUGUCACACUCACCUGCUUCUUGUUGGGAUGAUUACGGUUUAGAUAAAUUGCCAUGCGUGUGGUCUGGUCCUUCACUAGAUCGUUCUACCUUGAUGUCAUGUUCUCGCAAUUCCAUGUCUUUGUCUUUGAUUCUCUCUGUAUUGAACCCUGCUUCACUGAUGACCUUGGUUUUUCGUCUAGUGAUCCAACACUGUUGCCUGUUUGGACUGCCUGUCUGUGUAUCAACCUUGGACUGAAUAAAUAACCUCCCCGAACUGUUACUGGUCUCGUGAGUCGUGCAUAUUUGGUUCAGCCUCGAGUUCUGGUCAUAACAGAAUAAUCUGGCGAUGACAUUGAC